GUGCUCACUUCAGCAGCACAUAGUUGGAACAAUACAGAGAAGGUUAGCAAGGCCCCUGUACAAGCAUGAUACACAAACUCAUGAAGUGUUCUAUAUUAAA
rnacentral:snRNA from 1 species